GGUUAAGUUAAUAAGGGCGCACGGUGGAUGCCUUGGCACUAGAAGCCGAUGAAGGACGUGACUAACGACGAAAUGCUUUGGGGAGUUGUAAGUAAACAUUGAUCCAGAGAUGUCCGAAUGGGGGAACCCGGCAUGUGAAGCAUGUCACUCAUUACUGUUAAGGUAAUGAAGAGGAAGACGCAGUGAACUGAAACAUCUAAGUAGCUGCAGGAAGAGAAAGCAAACGCGAUUGCCUUAGUAGCGGCGAGCGAAACGGCAAGAGGGCAAACCGAUGUGUUUACACAUCGGGGUUGUAGGACUGCGUUGUGGGACGCAAGAUUAUAGAAGAAUUACCUGGGAAGGUAAGCCAAAGAGAGUAAUAGCCUCGUAAUCGAAAUAAUCUUAAACCCUAGCAGUAUCCUGAGUACGGCGAGACACGAGAAAUCUCGUCGGAAUCCGGGAGGACCAUCUCCCAACCCUAAAUACUCUCUAGUGACCGAUAGUGAACCAGUACCGUGAGGGAAAGGUGAAAAGCACCCCGGGAGGGGAGUGAAAUAGAACCUGAAACCGUGUGCCUACAACAAGUUCGAGCCCGUUAAUGGGUGAGAGCGUGCCUUUUGUAGAAUGAACCGGCGAGUUACGAUAUGAUGCGAGGUUAAGUUGAAGAGACGGAGCCGUAGGGAAACCGAGUCUUAAUAGGGCGCUUUAGUAUCAUGUCGUAGACCCGAAACCAUGUGACCUACCCAUGAGCAGGGUGAAGGUGAGGUAAAACUCACUGGAGGCCCGAACCAGGGCACGUUGAAAAGUGCUUGGAUGACUUGUGGGUAGCGGAGAAAUUCCAAACGAACUUGGAGAUAGCUGGUUCUCUCCGAAAUAGCUUUAGGGCUAGCGUCGAUGUUAAGUCUCUUGGAGGUAGAGCACUGUUUGAUUGAGGGGUCCAUCCCGGAUUACCAAUAUCAGAUAAACUCCGAAUGCCAAUGAGAUAUAAUCGGCAGUCAGACUGCGAGUGCUAAGAUCCGUAGUCGAAAGGGAAACAGCCCAGACCACCAGCUAAGGUCCCAAAAUAUAUGUUAAGUGGAAAAGGAUGUGGGGUUGCACAGACAACUAGGAUGUUAGCUUAGAAGCAGCUAUUCAUUCAAAGAGUGCGUAAUAGCUCACUAGUCGAGUGACCCUGCGCCGAAAAUGUACCGGGGCUAAAACAUAUUACCGAAGCUGUGGAUACCUAUUAUAGGUAUGGUAGGAGAGCGUUCUAUGUGUGAAGAAGGUGUACCGUGAGGAGCGCUGGAACGCAUAGAAGUGAGAAUGCCGGUAUGAGUAGCGAAAGACAGGUGAGAAUCCUGUCCACCGUAAGACUAAGGUUUCCAGGGGAAGGCUCGUCCGCCCUGGGUUAGUCGGGACCUAAGGAGAGACCGAAAGGUGUAUCCGAUGGCCAACAGGUUGAUAUUCCUGUACUAGAGUAUAUAGUGAAGGAGGGACGCAGUAGGCUAACUAAAGCGUGCGAUUGGAAGAGCACGUCUAAGCAGUGAGGUGUGAUAUGAGUCAAAUGCUUGUAUCUCUAACAUUGAGCUGUGAUGGGGAGCGAAGUUAAGUAGCGAAGUUAGUGAUGUCACACUGCCAAGAAAAGCUUCUAGCGUUAAUUAUACUCUACCCGUACCGCAAACCGACACAGGUAGUCGAGGCGAGUAGCCUCAGGUGAGCGAGAGAACUCUCGUUAAGGAACUCGGCAAAAUGGCCCCGUAACUUCGGGAGAAGGGGCGCUGGCUUUAAGUCAGCCGCAGUGAAUAGGCCCAAGCAACUGUUUAUCAAAAACACAGCUCUCUGCUAAAUCGUAAGAUGAUGUAUAGGGGGUGACGCCUGCCCGGUGCUGGAAGGUUAAGAGGAGCGCUUAGCGUAAGCGAAGGUGUGAAUUGAAGCCCCAGUAAACGGCGGCCGUAACUAUAACGGUCCUAAGGUAGCGAAAUUCCUUGUCGGGUAAGUUCCGACCCGCACGAAAGGCGUAAUG
rnacentral:rRNA from 1 species